rnacentral:rRNA from 1 species
CAGCAGCCACGGUAAUACGGAGGGUGCAAGCGUUAAUCGGAAUUACUGGGCGUAAAGCGCACGCAGGCGGUCUGUCAAGUCAGAUGUGAAAUCCCCGGGCUUAACCUGGGAACUGCAUUUGAAACUGGCAGGCUAGAGUCUUGUAGAGGGGGGUAGAAUUCCAGGUGUAGCGGUGAAAUGCGUAGAGAUCUGGAGGAAUGCCGGUGGCGAAGGCGGCCCCCUGGACAAAGACUGACGCUCAGGUGCGAAAGCGUGGGGAGCAAACAGGAUUAGAUACCCGCGUAGUCCCUGUCUCUUAUAC